rnacentral:rRNA from 1 species
UACGAAGGGGGCUAGCGUUGUUCGGAAUUACUGGGCGUAAAGCGCACGUAGGCGGACUACUAAGUCAGGGGUGAAAUCCCGGGGCUCAACCCCGGAACUGCCUUUGAUACUGAUAGUCUCGAGUCCGGAAGAGGUGAGUGGAAUUCCGAGUGUAGAGGUGAAAUUCGUAGAUAUUCGGAGGAACACCAGUGGCGAAGGCGGCUCACUGGUCCGGUACUGACGCUGAGACGCGAAAGCGUGGGGAGCGAACAGG